AUCUACGGCCUUGUCACUCUGAACACAUCGGACCUCGUCUAAUCUGGGCAGUAGGGCCGGGCCCGAUUAGUACUUGAACGGGAGGCCGUCUAAAAAUACCGGGUGCUGUAGGCU
ensembl:rRNA 5S_rRNA 5S ribosomal RNA